AAAUGAACAACCAGCACCCAGUAACCCGAGGAAAGAUCUUGCAACCCAUAGAGCAGAGCGUGGUCCAGAUGCUCACAGAGCCGCUGCAGGACCUUGUCGUGGUUUCUGAUGGCCGGGGUCUCAUCCUCACAGGCAGCAAAGUAGCUCUGCAGCUUCUUCACGGAGAGCGAGAUGUUCUCCAGGAUGCGGUCCUUCACCUCGGCCGGCUCCAUCACUCCCGGCCCGGCCGCCCGCCGCCGCCUGGUCCGCCCGGCGGAGCCCGAGGGCCGCGCAGCCCCCCGGGCCCGCUCCCCGCCCCGCCGCCCCCCGCCGGCCGGCUCCGUGCUGCCGGCUGCCC
rnacentral:lncRNA from 1 species